rnacentral:rRNA from 1 species
UACAGAGGGGGCAAGCGUUGUUCGGAUUCACUGGGCGUAAAGGGUGCGUAGGUGGUGAGGUAAGUCGGAUGUGAAAGCUCGGAGCUCAACUCCGAAAUGGCAUUGGAAACUACCUUGCUCGAGGGUUGGAGGGGGGACUGGAAUGCUUGGUGUAGCAGUGAAAUGCGUAGAUAUCAAGCGGAACACCAGUGGCGAAGGCGAGUCCCUGGACAGAUCCUGACGCUGAGGCACGAAAGCUAGGGGAGCAAACAGG